GACGAACGCUGGCGGCGUGCUUAACACAUGCAAGUCGAACGGAAAGGCCCUGCUUUUGUGGGGUGCUCGAGUGGCGAACGGGUGAGUAACACGUGAGUAACCUGCCCUUGACUUUGGGAUAACUUCAGGAAACUGGGGCUAAUACCGGAUAGGAGCUCCUGCUGCAUGGUGGGGGUUGGAAAGUUUCGGCGGUUGGGGAUGGACUCGCGGCUUAUCAGCUUGUUGGUGGGGUAGUGGCUUACCAAGGCUUUGACGGGUAGCCGGCCUGAGAGGGUGACCGGCCACAUUGGGACUGAGAUACGGCCCAGACUCCUACGGGACGCAGCAGUGGGGAAUAUUGCACUAUGGGCGGAAGCCUGAUGCAGCAACGCCGCGUGCGGGAUGACGGCCUUCGGGUUGUAAACCGCUUUCGCAUGUGACGAAGCGUGAGUGACGGUAAUGGGUAAAGAAGCACCGGCUAACUACGUG
rnacentral:rRNA from 1 species